rnacentral:pre_miRNA from 1 species
UGCAUUUGCACCUGCACCUUUCUACUUUUCUUUUCCUCCAUCUCCAUCCUUACCGUCCAACAACAUUAUCACCAUGUACAUUAGAAGAGCGGAAAGGUGCAAGUCAAAUGCAGG